AUAGUCCCUACCAUCAAUGGGGAUUCUAGAAACAAGCAAACCUCUCAACACCAGCACCGUGAGCAGCAGCCUUGAGUGACGGAUACACUUUUCUUCAUCUACAACACGACCACAAGUUUCAGCAUCAGCAAAUCCACGCUACAGCUUCACAGCCCCGCCGAAGUCAACCAGAAGAUCCUGACUGCCGCCCCUCUUCUAAAGAA
rnacentral:lncRNA from 1 species